rnacentral:rRNA from 1 species
UACGGAGGGUGCAAGCAUUAAUCGGAUUUACUGGGCGUAAAGGGCGCGUAGGCGGCAAAGCAAGUCAUUUGUGAAAUUUCAGGGCUUAACUCUGAAGCUGCGAAUGAAACUACUUAGCUAGAGGCAAGACGGAGAAAAUGGAAUUUCCCAUGUAGCGGUGAAAUGCGUAGAUAUGGGAAGGAACACCGGUGGCGAAGGCGAUUUUCUAGUUUUGAACUGACGCUGAGGCGCGAAAGCGGGGGUAGCAAACAGG